rnacentral:rRNA from 1 species
UACAGAGGGGGCAAGCGUUGUUCGGAAUUACUGGGCGUAAAGGGCGCGUAGGCGGCCCGCUAAGUCGAACGUGAAAUCCCCGAGCUCAACUCGGGAACUGCGUCCGAUACUGGCGGGCUUGAAUCCGGGAGAGGGAUGCGGAAUUCCAGGUGUAGCGGUGAAAUGCGUAGAUAUCUGGAGGAACACCGGUGGCGAAGGCGGGUCUCUGGACAGUUCCUGACACUGAGGCACGAAGGUCAGGGGAGCAAACGGG